rnacentral:lncRNA from 1 species
UUUAUUUUACAAAACGCCCUAGGCGGGAUUCUAGUAAAUGACUGCAAGGUGGGAAAGGCGACACUAGAGGGCGCCCAUGGCCCGGACCGUGGGGAAACCGGACGGAGCCAAGGGCGGAACCUCCUAACAUCCCGCACCGCUCGGAGAUGCUUUCCGGGCCGAAAAGCCAGUCUUGGCCUCCUGGUGCCGGAGGGUGAUGUCCACGUGCUCUGGAGCGAUGACACGGCCAGUGAAGGGGCCCAUCUCGGUGCCGGCCUUGAUCCACGUCUUGGAGAAGAUGCCAAGGCCCUCGCCGGGGAUGGAGCUCUGCGCGAUGAUCACCUCGGCCGGCAGCACCAGGCUGGACAGCUUCUGAACCUCUGUGGCCACCAGGCAGGGGGACUGGGUCAGAGCGGAAGGCAGGGAGGCCGGGCUCUUCCCUCCCCUCCCCCGCCCCCCCCUGGGCUCAGCAACCCGCGGAGCCUCCGAAAGCAAGAGGUGCCUUUGGAAUUCAUUUCUAGGAGAGUUUUCUUGUGUUUGUUUUCGUUUUGGGUCUCUCCACGAAUUCUCAGAACAUCCACAACCGCCCUUCCCCUCCACUUCGGCCAAGUUUAAGAACUGCGGGGCCGACGGCAGUUUAGGCCUUAACCAAUGAGUAAACUGAGGCCCGGUCCCACGAGGAGGUGACGGCCCCCCCAGAACUCUUUCGCCCGGCUCGGGUUCUGGGCGGUUCUCCCGUGGCUCCGCGCGCGCUGCGCUUUCCGGCACGGAGCGCAGGGCACUGUCGGAGGACCCCGGGCUCGGCCAGGGGCUCUGACUUCGCUUGGGGUGCGGGGAACCCCGCGCCCGCGGCGCUCCGACCGUGCUGGGAAAGGAAGUCGGGCUCUGAGGCGGAGGCGGCUAAAAAGAAAGGCGGGCGACGGCGGCGGGCGGUAUUUCACGCUUUCUGGGUGACCCUGGGCGUGCCCGGGUUCCCGGCGAGAUCCGGGUUUGCCAGGGAGGGCAGUGCCCGGACCUAGGCCAGCCGCGAAGUCGCUUCUCCCGGUGGACAAGAGCCGGGGCGGCCCGCAACCCCCUGGUGGGGGGGUCCUCCUGCCUUGGCCGGGCAGCCGGGGUGGGAGCGGAGAGGCGCACAGGGGCGGCCUUCAUGUCUUACAAGGUUCCCCUCUAAGCUACCUGGGAAAAUACCCGGCGAGCGGGCCGGCUGAAAGAGGGGGUUAAACGGUGUCCAUUGCGGCGCGGCCGGCAAUUUGUCACGCUGUUAAAGUGAUCGCAUUCAUUCGGCUCCAUUCGAAAGAAAUUGCUAAUUCUAAAUUCAUUAGCCCUGGAAGAAUGCUGUAGCAGUAAAUUGUAGCUCAAUGCGGAGGGGACUUGUUUAAAAGGGGCCGAGGAAUUCCCCUUACAAAAAGGGGGGAUUAGACGGUUGACAUAGCGUGAAUGGAAGUGGAAUUAGUCUGCACGGUAAAUUAAGAGAGGAACAGAAAUCGUAAAGGGGGAAAAGGGGGCGACGCGCAGAGAUGCCAGCGCCGGGGAAAGAUAUUGUUUGCGGGUUGAUGAAUGAGGAGUAAGAACUUGAGACAUCUUAAAGAAAAGAAACUUUUCUCCCUCUCUCAUUCUCUCCCUCGCUCGCUCUCGCCGCUUUCUCUCCUGUCCGCCCUCCCUCCGCCCCCUCCCCAGCCCUCGCUGCCUUUUAAAGUUCUUGGUUUAAGUGGGAA